rnacentral:rRNA from 1 species
GACGAACGCUGGCGGCGUGCUUAACACAUGCAAGUCGAACGGAAAGGCCCUGCUUUUGUGGGGUGCUCGAGUGGCGAACGGGUGAGUAACACGUGAGUAACCUGCCCUUGACUUUGGGAUAACUUCAGGAAACUGGGGCUAAUACCGGAUAGGAGCUCCUGCUGCAUGGUGGGGGUUGGAAAGUCUCGGCGGUUGGGGAUGGACUCGCGGCUUAUCAGCUUGUUGGUGGGGUAGUGGCUUACCAAGGCUUUGACGGGUAGCCGGCCUGAGAGGGUGACCGGCCGCAUUGGGACUGAGAUACGGCCCAGACUCCUACGGGAGGCAGCAGUGGGGAAUAUUGCACAAUGGGCGGAAGCCUGAUGCAGCAACGCCGCGUGCGGGAUGACGGCCUUCGGGUUGUAAACCGCUUUCGCCUGUGACGAAGCGUGAGUGACGGUAAUGGGUAAAGAAGCACCGGCUAACUACGUG